UACGAAGGGUGCAAGCGUUACUCGGAAUCACUGGGCGUAAAGCGUGCGUAGGCGGUUCGUUAAGUCUGUUGUGAAAUCCCCGGGCUUAACCUGGGAAUGGCAUUGGUGACUGUACGGCUAGAGUGUGUCAGAGGGGGGGUAGAAUUCCACGUGUAGCAGUGAAAUGCGUAGAGAUGUGGAGGAAUACCGAUGGCGAAGGCAGCCCCCCUGGGGAUGACACUGACGCUCAUGCACGAAAGCGUGGGGAGCAAACAGG
rnacentral:rRNA from 1 species